rnacentral:misc_RNA from 1 species
GUAGGUGAACCUGCGGAAGGAUCAUUAGAGAUGCGGCGUGAGCCGUCAAACCAAAAACACUGUGAACCGUGGCCUCGGCCUCUCAAACUAUCUGUACAGAACGUAAUCAUGAUAAUCAUCAUAACUUUCAACAACGGAUCUCUUGGCUCUC